UCCAGGGUAGCCGAUUGGACAAGGCACCUGCCCGGUAAGCAGAAGGGUGUGGGUUCGAUUCCCGCCCCUGGAC
rnacentral:tRNA from 1 species